GCUGGGUCUUCCAGGAGCACGCAUGAGCGGACGCUGGCUACGGGUGGCCGGUUGGGAUGUAAACGGCUGCUGAGCUGGCAGUUAUGUGUCCCGAGGCUUCCGCCCGGCAGCAGCCACACAUACGCUGCGAGGAGGAGCUUUACGACUUCCCGGUCUUCGGGGCCGGGCGCAGCAAGGGCCAGACGCUGCCCUAGCAGGCGCUCCGCGCCUACCGGCCGGCACCUGUCACAGAAGGUGCAACCGAUCGCACUGUCGCGCAGAAGCUCCUCAAUGGCCAGCUCCAGCUGCAGCCCCAGCCGCCCACUCGCCUCUCCUGAGCCUGGGCUGGAGUGCAGUGGUGUAAUCUCGGCUCACUGCAACCUCCGCCUCCUGAGUUCAAGCGAUUCUCCUGCCUCAGCCUGCCAGAGUUGCUGGGACUACAGGUGCGCACCACCACACCCAGGAGUUCAAGGCUGCAGUGAGCCAUGAUCGUGCGACUGCACUCCAGCCUGGGCAACACAGCGAGACCCUGACUCCACAAAUAAAUAAAUCAACAUCAUAUGAUCUGUACCAGGGUAUAGGCAGGUGCUAUGAUCCCCACUUUUCAUCCUCAACUCUAAGUUGAGUCAUACAUCAACCUCUAGUAAAAAGUGGCAUGCUCUCAAUCAAAGGGGUAAGCCCAAACCACGUGGAGAGAAUCUUAUCUCUUUUGAGAGCUAAUAUAAAAAGAAUUCCUCCUAGGCGUAAAAAUAUUGUGACAUCAGUUACUUAGGCUAAACAUGCCUAUUAUGCUAAGUGAGUUAUUAACAAUAAAUACUUUAACUCUG